GACGAACGCUGGCGGCGCGCCUAAAACAUGCAAGUCGAACGAGAAGCCCGGGCUUGCCCGGGUGGACAGUGGCGAACGGGUGAGUAACACGUGAGGAACCUGCCCCGAAGACCGGGACAACACCGGGAAACCGGUGCUAAUACCGGAUGCCUUCACCGGAUCGCAUGGUCUGGUGAAGAAAGGGAUUCCGCUUCGGGAUGGCCUCGCGGCCUAUCAGCUUGUUGGUGAGGUAAUGGCUCACCAAGGCGACGACGGGUAGCUGGUCUGAGAGGAUGUCCAGCCACACUGGGACUGAGACACGGCCCAGACUCCUACGGGAGGCAGCAGUUAGGAAUCUUGCGCAAUGGGCGAAAGCCUGACGCAGCGACGCCGCGUGCGGGAUGAAGGCCUUCGGGUUGUAAACCGCUUUCAGCAGGGACGAAAUUGACGGUACCUGCAGAAGAAGCCCCGGCCAACUACGUGCCAGCAGCCGCCGUAA
rnacentral:rRNA from 1 species